GGUAGCGUGGUCGAGCGUUCUAAGGCGCUGGUUUAGGCCACCAGUCUAUUCAGAGACGUGGGCUCGAAUCCCAUUGCUGCCA